UUUGCAGGUUGAAUUUAAGGAAGGGAUCGUGCAGCCCCCAAAGGUCAAGUCGAGCAUUGAUUUGCCAGGGUAUCUUGAUAUUUUUGGGCAGAGAAUCGACUUGUCUCCUGUGCAGCAAGCUCUUAAUCCUCUGCAAGAGGUGGUGGCGAAUGUAGCUCGUACUAUUUCUGGUCAGUCUCCUCUUAAGGUUCCCAUUCCAGGCGAGCGAACAAAAUCGUGGCUUCUUACUACGUACCUCGACAAGGAUCUUCGCAUCUCAAGAGGAGAUGGUGGCCUUUUUGUGCUUGCUAAAGAAGGGAGUCCUCUUCUAUAUCAGUAACCGACGGAUUGUGAUUUCUAAAAUAGGUCUCACAAAAAGCAUUUCCCAAACGAGGCGGAAAAUGUUGUUUGUAUAAGCGGACUACUCAAGUCUGAAAAUGAUGCUUCUUUGUAAUCUUUGUGAAGGUUCCUAGGACUCAUUAUUGAAGGCGUAUAUUUUUUUUUUGCCUACUGAUUUGAGUUAGUCAGUAUCUAUAAGGUUCGUACCUCAAAGGGCGAAUCAAUUAAAAUUUAGGUUACUUUCACGGGUUUUCCUCGAUAAUUUGGAUAAAUACAGUGCUCGAUUAGUCUGGGAUAAUUAAUUAAUUACACCAUGCUUCCUUAAAUUGUAUAGUUGUAUAACAAUUUCACCGAUGCUAUUA